GACGAACGCUGGCGGCGUGCUUAACACAUGCAAGUCGAACGGAAAGGCCCUGCUUUUGUGGGGUGCUCGAGUGGCGAACGGGUGAGUAACACGUGAGUAACCUGCCCUUGACUUUGGGAUAACUUCAGGAAACUGGGGCUAAUACCGGAUAGGAGCUCCUGCUGCAUGGUGGGGGUUGGAAAGUUUCGGCGGUUGGGGAUGGACUCGCGGCUUAUCAGCUUGUUGGUGGGGUAGUGGUUUACCAAGGCUUUGACGGGUAGCCGGCCUGAGAGGGUGACCGGCCACAUUGGGACUGAGAUACGGCCCAGACUCCUACGGGAGGCAGCGGUGGGGAAUAUUGCACAAUGGGCGGAAGCCUGAUGCGGCAACGCCGCGUGCGGGAUGACGGCCUUCGGGUUGUAAACCGCUUUCGCCUGUGACGAAGCGUGAGUGACGGUAAUGGGUAAAGAAGCACCGGCUAACUACGUG
rnacentral:rRNA from 1 species